rnacentral:rRNA from 1 species
CGGCGUGCCUAAUACAUGCAAGUCGAGCGGACAGAUGGGAGCUUGCUCCCUGAUGUUAGCGGCGGACGCGUGAGUAACACGUGUGUAACCUGCCUGUAAGACUGGGAUAACUCAGGGAAACCGCGGCUAAUACCGGAUGCCUGUUUGAACCGCAUGGUUCCAACAUAAAAGGUGGCUUCCGCUACCACUUACAGAUGGACCCGCGGCGCAUUAGCUAGUUGGUGAGGUAACGGCUCACCAAGGCGACGAUGCG